rnacentral:rRNA from 1 species
ACUCCUACGGGAGGCAGCAGUGGGGAAUAUUGCACAAUGGGCGCAAGCCUGAUGCAGCCAUGCCGCGUGUGUGAAGAAGGCCUUCGGGUUGUAAAGCACUUUCAGUCGUGAGGAAGGUAGUGUAGUUAAUAGCUGCAUUAUUUGACGUUAGCGACAGAAGAAGCACCGGCUAACUCCGUGCCAGCAGCCGCGGUAAUACGGAGGGUGCGAGCGUUAAUCGGAAUUACUGGGCGUAAAGCGCAUGCAGGUGGUUUGUUAAGUCAGAUGUGAAAGCCCGGGGCUCAACCUCGGAAUAGCAUUUGAAACUGGCAGACUAGAGUACUGUAGAGGGGGUAGAAUUUCAGGUGUAGCGGUGAAAUGCGUAGAGAUCUGAAGGAAUACCGGUGGCGAAGGCGGCCCCUGGACAGAUACUGACACUCAGAUGCGAAAGCGUGGGAGCAAACGAGGAUUAGAU